rnacentral:tRNA from 1 species
GGGUUUGUGGCUCAGUGGUAGAGUGCUUGCCUGGCAUGUGUGAGUCCCUGGGUUCAAUCCUCAGCACCA